UCGACCUGAGGUCAGGCAAGAACACCCGCUGAACUUAAGCAUAUCAAUAAGCGGAGGGAA
rnacentral:rRNA from 1 species